rnacentral:lncRNA from 1 species
UCUCUGUGGUAAGGCCGGCCACUCACCAGGUCAAAGUGCAGCCAUCAAGGCUAAAAUAUAUGCAAUUCCACCCAGGCUCACUCAUUAGAAGGUGAAUUUAUUUUGAUAGUUGGGACCAUUCCCAAAUAAACAACAAAUAAAACCUCAGCCUUACAGGACAAGCUAAGUAGAUGACGCUGGAAAAUACCAUUUUUCCACAACAAACAGUCUACUAACAACCAACUGCAGUAACAAUCUUGUCUAGACGCCUGCUUCAUGUACUCAAUUAUAAUUUUUUUGAGAUGGGGAAAAUCUGAAUUAAGAUUAAAAUGUGAAAUUAGCACUCAUUUUUAAGGCACGGGAAUGGCAUUCUUGUCAUAUAAGAUAGCGUUAGUGUUUUAAUAGUCUCCUAAUUAAAUAUUUAUAUUGAAGAGGACUGGAAUAACAUGACAGAGUCACUAGGAUUUGUGUUAAAAGAGAAAAAAAGGCAAAAAGAAGGAUAGCUGGAACAAGAGGCUGAGAAUCACAGUUGUUGAAUCCAGCCCAGGAAUAUAGGCAGCUAGCUAUACUAUUCUCUCCAUUGAAAGCAUGCGUGGAACAAUUAAAAAACAGUUCCGCCGAAAUAAAACUAGUUUCUUACCAUUUGCAGUUCCUGAAACAUCUCUAGGUGGAAAGCUCUCAUCUCUUGUUAAUUCUUCCUUCAAGCUAAUGCAUAGGAGACAGCCUCCAUCUGUGUACCACGGAUACAUCACCUGCUCUUUCUGACAUAUUACAGCUGCAUCAGGAAAGUGAUGGGUGUGUCUAAAGUGUGUCCUCUGUACUCAUGUUAAAGACCCAACCUUAGUGCCUCAGAAAGUGUAUCUGUAAAAAUAUAACUAAGGUGAAAGGACCUUAUGUGGGCAGCUAUGGAGCUUUGUGUUUGGGGAUAUAGAGUUUUCUGGGAAGGUGAUUAGGUUAGAUUGAGACAGUGGGUAGACAUUAGCAUAGUUGGUGUCUUUGUGAUAAAGAGAAACACCAAGGCACAAAGACAGCAACCAUAGAGACAGCUAGAGGUGACUAUCCACUGGCCAGGCACUGAGGCUUCAAAGGGGACCAGUCCCACUGGCACCUUGAUCAUGAACUUCAGCCUUCAAAGCAGAAAGAUGGAAGUUUGUAUGUUUGAACCUUUAGCCUGUGGCCCAGGCAUACUGGUCCAGGAUGGGAUGGAGGUGGGGGCCUGCAUUCAUUAGCUGCUGGAGGGCACCCCAGGCUGCUCUCCCUUUUCCCAACAAGAACUUCACUCCUUGCUAGGAUCUCCCCUCCUGUUCUCUUUGUUUCCAGAGUACAGGAGUGAAACCAUGGCUCUGGUUGUCUUGCAUCAGCCAAAUUGCUGCCUGAACCCCGGAUUGUAACUUCUCCUUCCAGAACUUACCAUAUCUCGUUCACACACAAAUUACCCCUGGGAGAUUAUAGAAAUUUAAAAAUAAAUAAAUAAACUUCUUGAGGGAUUACAAUACAAUAGUAGCCUAUAAUUCUUCUUUCAUUGCUACUGAAAGAGAAAUGGUGCCCAAUAAGUAAAGCCUUUAUUAUAUCUUAGAAGAAAGAAAGCUCUUAUUUCUGGUUCAGAGAUUCAACAUCAUGGCAUUUAUAAUUAUAUUCUGGAGUCAACAUUGUUAAAAAUUUGGGCUUUCAUGCUAAAAAGUGAUUUUUUAAAAAAAAAAUAUAUAAUUACCUACUAAUUCUUCCCAAAUGGUAUGACUUGCCUUUUUUCUCUCUUUUUUUGAAUCAUAACUCAUCUUAAACAAUCUAUUUUUUUUUCUUUUUAGAGGAAGUCUAAAAUAACACAUGGGUGUCUCGGCCUUGGCACAGCUAAACCCUGGAACAUUGAACUGAAGUCAUAACAAUGGGUAAUAUUUUAAUAUAAUGAAAAAUUAUCAUUAACUUUUCUCGACAGGAAGGAAAUGAAUUUUCCUCAUUGUACACAUUCCGAGAAAAAUGAGGCUAAGACUAUUUCAAAGGAUGUUCUACCUAAUUCGAAUGGGCUUUAAGUGCCAUCUUCACAAUAGCGCCAGAGUCUGGUGUCAGCAAACUGAACAAAUAGAGCUACAGGGAGCGAAUGGGGCUGGGUGCCUCUCCAAAACAUAUGCAGAUGAACUUGAGAUUUCAGAGGACGGUUAAUCCUACACAGCAGUCAAGUGCCUUCCCAGGGGUAUGUCUCAGAUCUCAGGGCUCCCUUCCAAACACUGGCUGCCACGUCAAACCAAAGGGGACGAGCAAUCAGACUCACCUCAAACGCCAGUUAAGAAAGCCGGCCUUACUUAAGCAAUCAAGGGCAAGUGAUCAGCCAACUCUGCUUUCUUUCCUUUCUCUUGGAUCAUUUAUAGACCUUGUGGCCGUGGCCACCACAUUGAGAAGCCCUUGGUCUCUACUUGGACUCACUAUAGCAGAGCAUCCUGGCAGGCAUCCACUGUGCCAUAUGCUUUCGGGAAGUCUGGAUGCUGAAUGUGGUGGCUGUGGGGAAUUGAGCCUUAUUGCUUCAUAAGAUUCCUGGUGGUAGAACUAUUCUGAACAAGAACACGUCCGUCCCCAUAGGUGUGCUCCAAGAAUCACAGAAUAAGAAGGGACUUCGGAGAGAGCCUCACACAGUUGGGCAAUGGGAGCCCAGAGAGGCAAGGAAGGCUCCUUGCCCAAAGUCUUGUACAUCUGAAUCUGCAACUCCUGACUAUUUUUGAGUCUUAUGCUCCAGGCUAAAACUUGUGACUUUAAGUGUGAUGUUCUCGGUGAUGAUUAAUCUAGGAUGUUUCUGUUGUUUUCUUACCGUCAAAGAAUUAACAUCAAAAGGAAAGGAAGGAAGAAAUGUAGAAGUGAAGGCAAGAAGGAAGGAAGGAGGAAAGGAAGGAAGGAAAAUAUAGGCUUUGGGUAAAAAUAAGUUUCUACUCAACACUGACAAAGGUACAGGUUUUGGACAUUGGUUUCCUAAUCUGUAAAUGAGGAAUAGUCAUCACAUCGCUGUCCUGGCUGGUUUUGUGUGUCAACUUGACACAAGCUGGAGUUAUCACAGAGAAAGGAAAGAAAAUGCCUCCAUGAGAUCUAGCUGUAAAUGGAUUAGUGAUCAAGAGUGGGAGGGCCCAGUGUGGGUGGUGCCAUCCCUGGACUGGUGGUCCUGGGUUCUACAAGAAAACAAGCUGAGCAAGCCAGGGGAAGCAAGCCAGGGGAACAUCCCUCCACGGCUCUGCAUCAGCUCCUGCUUCCUGCCCUGUGUGAGUUCCAGUCCUGACUUCCUUUGGUGACGAACAGCAAUGUGAUAGUAUAAGCUGAAUAAACCCUUUCCUCCCCAAC